GAACAGGAUGAUGGGACUUAGAGUGUCGCCUGGUAUUGCGACCGAUUUCCCCACCCCCGCCACGUGUUUGGGGAUGUUAUUGGACGCGCAUGUUUUUCAGAAUGCCAGCUUUACUGAGUGGAACCUUCUCAGAUAAACCGGUCGGGUACCCACGCAGGUUAACACACCACACAGAGGAAGUGCAGAGUCUUAUGCGACAGAGCGAAUGGAUGAGUCCUUGGAGUCUCCAAAGGGAGCACAGAGAGCUGCACACAUGUCCCAAGCCAGUGGCUACACCAGACCUGUCAAAUUCAAAAGCCUAGGGACCAGAAGCCAAGACUGUGAUUUGGAUGAAGAAAAGAAAGGAAUGAAAGAGAAAAAAAAAAAGGACUUGGCAACUGGAAGGAAAACAAAUUUGAAACACAUACACACCAACAAUGGCUGAAGAAAAAUACAAAUGUUAAAUGCAGUUCUUCUAUCUUUGUUCUUUAAAUAUAUAUUUUGGGCCAGUGAAAA